UCCAGAGAACUUAGCAGAGAUGCUUUGGUGCCUUCGGGAACUCUGAGACAGGUGCUGCAUGGCUGUCGUCAGCUCGUGUUGUGAAAUGUUCGGGUUAAGUCCCGCAACGAGCGCAACCCUUAUCCUUUGUUGCCAGCGGUUCGGCCGGGAACUCAAAGGAGACUGCCGGUGAUAAACCGGAGGAAGGUGGGGAUGACGUCAAGUCAUCAUGGCCCUUACGGCCAGGGCUACACACGUGCUACAAUGGCGCAUACAAAGAGAAGCGACCUCGCGAGAGCAAGCGGACCUCAUAAAGUGCGUCGUAGUCCGGAUUGGAGUCUGCAACUCGACUCCAUGAAGUCGGAAUCGCUAGUAAUCGUAGAUCAGAAUGCUACGGUGAAUACGUUCCCGGGCCUUGUACACACCGCCCGUCACACCAUGGGAGUGGGUUGCAAAAGAAGUAGGUAGCUUAACCUUCGGGAGGGCGCUUACCACUUUGUGAUUCAUGACUGGGGUGAAGUCGUAACAAGGUAGGCGUAGCGAG
rnacentral:rRNA from 1 species